rnacentral:lncRNA from 1 species
UGUUUAUAUUGGCCAAAGUGGUGGAAAACCUGGAAAAAUAAAAUUGUAUCCUUGAAAGAUAUGCUGGUAUUAUUGGCACAAUGGGCAAGCAUUGAAGUGCAACUUGGUGAACUACAAAAUACAUCAAAUUCAGUUAUAAAAGUUUGAGUAUCAAAGGUAUGCUAAUUAUUGUAUUUAAGUACUCUGGAAGAAAAAAGACAAGAAAACACUUUAGUAAAUGGUAAAUAUUUUUUUUAUGAUCUGUUUAUGCAUUUAGUAUGAUAUGUAGUACAAUUUAUAUACUUUAAAUAAAAUACUCUUUGAAGAUUUUUUGUAAAUGACAUUUUAUAUUAAUUUAAGUCUAAACAAAAGUUACUUUAAUUACUGCUAGGCUGUGUGUUUUUGCAAGUUAAUUAUUUUGCACAAAUUGGAGUUAAAGACGGAGGAGAUUGUAUAUGUUAUUUACUAAGAAUAGUUUAUUAAAAUGGCCUAGCUGUAAAGUUAAAUUAUGCAGGGAGAGGAUAAAAAAUUGGAAUAGGAAAAAUGUUGAUUGCAUAUGCUGCUAUUGAAACUGUGAAGUCAAAUAGCGGAAGAAAAAAUAAUAAUCGUGGGCACCAAAUAUCAUAAG